CAAGCCCUGCCCGAGCUGAAGGAUUUCCCGGCUUGCUCAGAGUGGGGCAAAGAGGCGGUUGGAAGCGCACGGCUCGCGCUUGGCGCUUUCUCUCGGCCGCCUCCGCCGCUCGGAAACCUUUGCGUUCUCUGCGCCGCUCGCAGGAUGACGGCAACUCUAAAGGCAAGCGGAGUGUCCUGUGUGCCACAUGGAGCUUGGGGAAAGGAAAUGAUUAAAGCCGUGAGGUUUCCUGGCUCUUCGCGGUGUUUACGCACUGGAGACAUGUCAGGCUUCCAGCCCUGGAAGAGGCCUUGGAAGAAAGAAUGGCACGGGGUCCCAAGAGAGCACUGAUAGCUGCAGUGGGAAGAUGCAUUAGACUGGGAACUGUGGAGCUGAUGCUGAAGCAGAAGGCGCUUAUUUAAGCUAUAAAUGGAAGACAGGACCAAGGGGCCUGAAACAUCUCCGGCUCCCCGGGCCAGACUGCUGGUGAAGUGAUGGCCGUGGCCUUCCACCCUCCCUUGCUGCACUCCUGGGCCUCAGGCAAGCGGGGUUGUUUUGGAAUGCAGCAGUCUUACUGAAGCGAUUCUGAAUGUGAAACAAGCAAGAAAAUCACCUAAAGAAAGAAGUAGAAAGAACAAUCAAUAAUGUACACCCAGCAAGGAACAUGAUCACCAGCCUCAUGUCAAGCCACUUAUAGAAAAGAUACUUAUUCCUAGAUGAAACACCAAUCUGUUUUCAAUAAAUGAUUAUCAAUAAUUCCUC